ACCGACAUCAGGGACUCAUUCUGGGAGCCGUUACCGACCGCCAGAUACGAAUGCAUGCCCAGCUCUUUCAUCUGCUGCUCGCCGAUGACGCGUGUAAUAACGUUUUUACUGUAAGCAUCUGCUAACUGACGAGCCUGAGAGGCGAGGUAUGCAGCGUUGCAGAUGUUUGGCGGCAUAUUGCCCAGAUCUUUUGC
rnacentral:antisense_RNA from 1 species